UGAGGCCUGGGUUGGGAGCGGGAUGAGAAAGCUUGUGGUGUCACCUUGUUGGCUGUGUGCUGUAUCUCUCGUGGUUAGGUUCUUUGGGGUGCACUGGCUGCUAGUAUGAUGACUGAAUGAGGGUUAAGUGAUAGCUGGAGUAAAGCUAGAAGGUGCUGAUUGCAUGUGAGGUUUUGUCCCUGUUUUCCUGCUGUGCUUUAGAUCAGUACUUGAUAGCAUUUCUAUUGAGGCAGCACUUGAUGUAGUUGAGUACAGAGAGAUGGGCAGCAUGCUGUUGGGUUUUGAAACUGAGCUCUCUGAGCAAGGAACAGGUCUGGAUCUCGUGGCUGCAGAAAAUAUCCCUGUAAUACUUGCUGGUUUGGCGAAAGAGAAGAGGGGGUGCUGUGACUCACAGCUGAAUGCAUGCUGCUGCUUUGGAGCAGCAAUGGCUCAGCUCCAAAGCACAAUAAAACUGAAGGCCAGAAAAGGACAGGCAGAUCAUAUACUUGCUUAAGCAUAUCUCACAUCACUUGAAGACAAAGGCAGAAGUAUUGCUUACCCUUCUGACCUCAGAUGAACAUUUUUAUGUUGAAGAGAUAAAGGAUGGUUUUUGAACCUGUACGUGUGAUGCUGACUCCACAAACAUUUUCUUAGCUCAAGCAGUGAAGAAAUAGCUCCAGUGCUUUCUCCAGGAAAAGAAUUCUUCUCUAAUAUCAAGUAUUUGUGAAAGAUGAGUGAAUACUCCUGACAGAUGUCACCAGGGAAAAUGAGCCUGUAGAUACUAAUGAGCUGGAUGACGUUGUUCUGAGAGCAAGCUCAGCUCAGUCCCAGGCCAGACAGGCAGCAAGGCCUGGGAAAGACAUAAAUACCAACCAACAAACUGAAGGUUGUGUGUAAUGGUGUUCCUCAAAGUUCCACUUGUUUAUGGAGACUUUGUCAUCUUGUUGUCUGAAAAUCCCAGGCACUUUGUUUUCCAACUCAGUACUGCUGCUCUGAAAUGUGUAAGCAGUGAUUUCUUCUCUCUCUUUUAUUCCAGAUCAGUUUUAAGUGUUUCUGUUGUCUGUGCGAAAGGAGACUUAUAAUAUCAUUUAGAAGUGUCAAUUGUUCUGUCAUCUUGCUUUUACCAGAGGAGUCUCUUUGAGCUGUUAUUUGUCCUUUAGAAAAGAUGUUCCAUCUUCUCAAGAUGUAUUUCAUAUUAUGAGGGAAAUUUGAUGUUAGCUAAAUAAUAGACAUCACAGUGCAUCUUGAAUACUAGUAACAGGUGAAAUGUAAAUUGUGUGAUUAGCAUGCAGCUAUAGAUGCAGCAAAGAAGCAAACGGCUAUACUUUGAUUGCUCUAAUUGCGUGCAAGUUUAAUCGUAUAUUUGAUGCCCCUGAACAAUAGCAAUGAAUAACUGUCAUGCUUUUUUCAAGUGGACUCUCUAGUUGACGAAGUUUUUGUAUUAUAGCCUUUGUGUUGAAGGGAAAUCAAUAUCUGAAGAGGAAGUGCUGAGUAUAUUCUGUUAAGUCUGUCCUCAGCUUUGAUCUAAGAAGAUCCCCAAGUAUUAGAAAAGCCUACUAGUAGAAAUAAGGCUUAUUCUCUAUAAUUAAGGCUUUCAAUUACCUUGUCUUAGUAGGUAAAAUAGAAUUAUUUUUUCCUCCAACAUGGGACUCUGAACUUCCUGUAAUUAUUUAAUAGUAGGAAUUGGUCUCCAGCAGUAGAUCAGGAAAUAUCCUGGGACACCUAGUUAGUCCUUAAGCAAUGGGUAGCUCGUGAGGGGGAAAUAACAUGCUGAUUUGCAGUUAUAAUUGGAGAAAAUUGCUCAAGAGGAUUCUGAGAGUACAGAAAAUAGGCCAAUUAGUAACCCGGCUCUGAUCCUCCUAUGAUUCAUGAUUGCUUCCAUUUAAUUUUGCUGUCACUUAUGAAGCAAGGUUAAGAAUAGAUAAGCUAAGAGAUGGCUCAAAGAAGCUAACUUCUGCUUGACUUUGGGUGGUGGGGUAGGAGAAUGCAGGAUUUUUUCCCCCCUCUAUGGCUGUAUGACUUGAGUAUUAAAAUUUCUUAAUGUUGCACUUCACACUUAUUCGUUAUAGUGGAAUAAAUUAUGAUUAAACUCUUCACAUACACAUGAUUUUUCCAAAGAUAAAAUGUAGCCCAGCAGUAAGUUAGUCACACUUUAACACUGUUAUCUAAGGGCAUUCCACCAUAAUCAAUGUUAAACUAAAGGAACUUAAAGAGAAAUAAAGAGCUCGAACUGCAGCCACAGGGAAUAUCCUGCAGCUCAGCCUUGAGCAGCAGUCAGCUGUAAUGUGGAGGCUUCAAAACAUCAGGGAAGGCAUCCAAAGGGCAGCACAGGGAGGCUGCUCCCUGUGAGUGUAGGACUGUGCCUCCCAAGUGGUUCUGUCCCAUUGCCCCUUCAGUGCUGGGAUUAAUUUGGACACAGGUGUAGCUCCUCAUCAGCUCUUCUGUUCACCAGCUCCUUUCUCCAUAGCUCGUUCUGCUGCAGGUCGCUGCGUGUGGGAGCAGAACCCUGAGGAAGCACAGGCCAAGCGCUGCAGGUUUCCAUCUCUGGUAUGUGCAGAGGCCCAGCCAAAUGGUGACCAAGUGCCUGUGUCUGGCCUUGCAUGCAGCCCCUGUUUGCCAGGCAUUGCUCUGACCUGCAUCUGCCUGGGGCCUGUCCUAGAGAUCACCUGUUCUGGAACUGUGUAUCAUUCAUGGCUUGAUGGAUGUGCUGUCGUUCUUAAGUGCACAACAGCUGGAUCUGUUGCCAUCCCAUUUAUUUCAUGAAUUUUAUCACAAAUUGGGUAUCUCUUAAAGUGAAUAAUGAAUUGCCCUAUUAGUGUUUACUUUAGAUAGAUCAGCGUUGUCACAAUAAUGGUUAUGUUACAAGAACUGAAUGCAUUAGAACACCAAACCAGCCUG